AGGAAUAUUGGUCAAUGGGCGCAGGCCUGAACCAGCCAAGUAGCGUGAAGGAUGACUGCCCUAUGGGUUGUAAACUUCUUUUAUAUGGGAAUAAAGUGGUCCACGUGUGGAUUUUUGUAUGUACCAUAUGAAUAAGGAUCGGCUAACUCCGUGCCAGCAGCCGCGGUAAUACGGAGGAUCCGAGCGUUAUCCGGAUUUAUUGGGUUUAAAGGGAGCGUAGAUGGAUGUUUAAGUCAGUUGUGAAAGUUUGCGGCUCAACCGUAAAAUUGCAGUUGAUACUGGAUAUCUUGAGUGCAGUUGAGGCAGGCGGAAUUCGUGGUGUAGCGGUGAAAUGCUUAGAUAUCACGAAGAACUCCGAUUGCGAAGGCAGCCUGCUAAGCUGCAACUGACAUUGAGGCUCGAAAGUGUGGGUAUCAAACAGGAUUAGAUACCCUGGUAGUCCACACGGUAAACGAUGAAUACUCGCUGUUUGCGAUAUACUGCAAGCGGCCAAGCGAAAGCGUUAAGUAUUCCACCUGGGGAGUACGCCGGCAACGGUGAAACUCAAAGGAAUUGACGGGGGCCCGCACAAGCGGAGGAACAUGUGGUUUAAUUCGAUGAUACGCGAGGAACCUUACCCGGGCUUAAAUUGCAGAUGAAUUACGGUGAAAGCCGUAAGCCGCAAGGCAUCUGUGAAGGUGCUGCAUGGUUGUCGUCAGCUCGUGCCGUGAGGUGUCGGCUUAAGUGCCAUAACGAGCGCAACCCUUGUUGUCAGUUACUAACAGGUUCCGCUGAGGACUCUGACAAGACUGCCAUCGUAAAAUGUGAGGAAGGUGGGGAUGACGUCAAAUCAGCACGGCCCUUACGUCCGGGGCUACACACGUGUUACAAUGGGGGGUACAGAGGGCCGCUACCACGCGAGUGGAUGCCAAUCCCCAAAACCUCUCUCAGUUCGGACUGGAGUCUGCAACCCGACUCCACGAAGCUGGAUUCGCUAGUAAUCGCGCAUCAGCCACGGCGCGGUGAAUACGUUCCCG
rnacentral:rRNA from 1 species